AACAUUGUUUAAGUAGUAAAUCCACGAGUGUUCGGAGUUUCGGAGACGUUUUGACAUAUGCGCGCGCCAAAAUAAUAAAUAUUAAGUUAAAUUGUAACAUGUAAUUGAAAUUAAUGUUAAAAAAUUACAAUUGAAUAUUAAGUACAUAGAGAUGAACAAGAAAAAAAAUGUUUUAUAUAUUUAUAUGUAAGAGAAGAAAUUUUAAUAAAAUAUAUUAAUAUAUUAAACUAUACUAAAUUAUAUUUUUAUUAUAUUAAAUUAAUUAGUAAUAAUAAUUUUCAAUUUCUUUGAUGUGCCUUGACAGACAAGAUUUAUGAUUAAAAUUUGGUUUUCCAUAUUAAAAUCAUUGUCAGCCGAGAAACAAAAUCUGUGCAAAAUAAAAUAAAAACAUAAAGAAGGAAGAGGGAAAGAAAUAAAUGGAGAAUAAAAAUAUAUAUCAGAUAAGUAGCUAAUAUCUUUAUAAAAAAUUAUGUAUUCUAUGUGCUUUUUGUAGAUGAACCGAUUCUUUUCUUGAAUUAAUUUUUUGUUUCAGCUUCUUAGCCAAUCGUAGAAUGUUGACAGCUGGACCACCAGAGAACAAUUUCUUGCCGAAUAAAGCUGUCAAAUUCUAAGCCUGCUACUUCUUCGAGUAUGUCAAAAUUCAAACAGAAAAUGUGCUACCCACAUUGGCUUUUACAAGAAUGGGUUUAGAAGUAGCGAUGGAUGCUUGUCCAACAAUCGAGGAUCAUUUCAUAAGUGAAUACACUAUUUGAUGUAAAAUAAACCAAAAUUAUCUUUUUAAAAACGGCAAAAAAGAUGCCAAGUGUGUAUGCUCUAGAAAACACCUCUUAAAUCUAAGAUACUCUUCAUCUAAUUCAACCCAAGUAAUAUCACGAGCCUUCUUAUACCAACUAAAAUGUAACUUUAAUUAUUAAACUAAUAAUUAUUUUAAAUGAAUUAUACUCACAAACACACACACACACACACACACACACAUAUUAACUACAAAAAUAAUGAUAUCAAAAUAUUUCUUUAACGAUAAUUUGUUUUACUCCAAAUAGUAUAUGUUUACUUACGAAAUGAUAUUUGAUGUUACAAUGUGAUUUCAACUUUUUUGCUUACAAUUUUGGCAUACUCGAGGAAGUAGCAGGUUUAGAAUUUGACAGCUUUACUCGGCAAGGAAUUGUUCUCUGAUGGUCCAGCUGUCAACAUUCUACAAUUAGCAAAGAAGCUGAAACAAAAAAUUAAUUCAAGAAAAGAAUCGGUUCAUCUACAAAAAGCACAUAUAGAAUACAUAAUUUCUUAUAAAGAUAUUAACUACUUAUCUGAU
rnacentral:lncRNA from 1 species